rnacentral:lncRNA from 1 species
CUUUCAUGAAAUACAUCACAUUACAAACAAAUCACAUCAAGGAUGGACUUGUCACCAAUAGUCCUCUACACAUUCCAAUGGUGCCAGGGGCGUAGAAUGGGCCUCACUGGUCUUUCUCUUACUCUGUGCUAGGGGCGUAGAAUGGGUCUCAAUGGACUUCCAUACCGUAUCAUCGUCAUCAUAUCAUACCGAGGACUAAUGGGUCAUCCAACAUCCAUCCACAUCAACAUUAAAGUAUGCAAUGCAACAUAUUCGUGAAUUCUAAUGCAAACAACCUAGUAUAUAUCAUGGCAUUCGUGAUGUAUGAACAUGCUUGAAAUUUAU